rnacentral:rRNA from 1 species
AUUGAACGCUGGCGGCAGGCUUAACACAUGCAAGUCGAGCGGAGAUGAGGUGCUUGCACCUUAUCUUAGCGGCGGACGGGUGAGUAAUGCUUAGGAAUCUGCCUAUUAGUGGGGGACAACAUUCCGAAAGGAAUGCUAAUACCGCAUACGUCCUACGGGAGAAAGCAGGGGAUCUUCGGACCUUGCGCUAAUAGAUGAGCCUAAGUCGGAUUAGCGAGUUGGUGGGGUAAAGGCCUACCAAGGCGACGAUCUGUAGCGGGUCUGAGAGGAUGAUCCGCCACACUGGGACUGAGACACGGCCCAGACUCCUACGGGAGGCAGCAGUGGGGAAUAUUGGACAAUGGGGGGAACCCUGAUCCAGCCAUGCCGCGUGUGUGAAGAAGGCCUUAUGGUUGUAAAGCACUUUAAGCGAGGAGGAGGCUACUGAGACUAAUACUCUUGGAUAGUGGACGUUACUCGCAGAAUAAGCACCGGCUAACUCUGUACCAGCAGCCGCCGUAACAC